GGGCCGAAUACUUUUGCAAGCCACUGUAAAUGGACACAUUAAAAAUGCUUUGCCUUCAAAGACAAAAUGAUAUGCUGGUGCAGGCUGCCAUGUAGGACGGCAGGACACUUUCACUGCCCUGUCUGUAACAUGACAAUCAUACGGCGUGGGGAUAUGGCAAGGCAUUUAUUGUCAUGUCAGCAUUCUUCAAUGCCAAGUCAGCCACCAAUAUCAGGACUGAUCCCCACUGAACUCUCUGUUGAGCCCCGUCUCCCUCUCGUUGUCUUGUCUCCAGCAUCUAAACCAUUUUCUGAAUCUUCAGUAGAACAUUCAUGUGUUCUACCCUCUGUGCUAAAUGAAACUGCGGCUUAUGGAAAGUCCAUGGAAAUGAAACGCCCUCAUUGUGGUCUUAGUCUACUUACAAAAAAAAACUUCAAGGCUCACAUGAUGAAAAGGCAUUCAAACAGAUCAAUAGAUGUUUGCCUGGCCUGUCAUCUGCAGUGUUUUUGUGUAGAGGGACUUCUUCUUCUUUGUUUUUCAGUUUGCAGGGGACAUGGAGAUCUUUUUAAAAGCAUGUGCUGAUGAGCAGGGACUAUGGGUCAAUGCGAUGUUUGACAUUUAAUGGACAGAUGAAGGCACUGGCUGUUUGUUUGGUUUUUUUAUGUGUUGUUGGGUUGUUUUUUUUUUCCAGUGUACAGAAUUCCAAUUAAACUUAUUGCAAAAUGUCCAUACUUAUAGUAAAAAAUUACAGUGUAAAUGUAACAGCAUUGUUUAUACUUGUAACUUCAAAAAGAAAAAGCUUACAGUUGCUAUUAACAUUAAUGUAUUACCCUGUAAUCAAUAAUAUUUUUAUAUAUUUUAGGCAUUAACCCUCUGGGCUCUGUGCUGGCCAUAUGUGGCCACUUCACUUCUUUUUUUUAUUUGACCAUUUUUGCUGUGUUAAUGCAAAUGGAAUGAAAAAGUGUAGCUUUUUUUCAGCUUUUGGCCACUUAAAACCCAUUAUUAUGACAUUUUUAAAUUCCUUGUUAUUGACAGUGCUAAAUCAUGCAAUGUAGGUAAAAUUGCUUUCAUUCUAAACUCAACACAUAAAAAUUAUGGUUGUUGUUUUUUUUGUUUUUUUUUACCAAAUUACAUCAUUUACCCAUUUUUGGCCAAACAACCAAUUUCAUGUAAUAUUUUUCAAAAUUAGUUUCAAAUAGUGGCGUUUGAUGGCUUACUACACUGCAAUGGACCAAAAGAAUGACACAGGUUUGAUCUUAAGGAUCUAAUAGUUGUGUGUUUGUGCAUGACAUUGCAAUGCAAAUAUGUAUUUGCAAGAUAGACUGGAAUAAAUUAUGACGCAUCAAAUAUUA